GAGUUUGAUCCUGGCUCAGAUUGAACGCUGGCGGCAAGCCUCAUACAUGCAAGUCGAGCGGGAACGUUACUUCGGUAGCUAGUAAAGCGGCGGACGGGUGAGUAACGCGUAGGAAUCUACCUUUCAGCGGGGGAUAGCUCGGGGAAACCCGAAUUAAUACCGCAUACACCCUAAGGGGGAAAGAGGGCCUAUCCUUGGAAGCUCUCGCUGUUAGAUGAGCCUGCGUGAGAUUAGUUUGUUGGUGGGGUAAUGGCCUACCAAGACUACGAUCUCUAGCUGGUCUGAGAGGACGAUCAGCCACACUGGGACUGAGACACGGCCCAGACUCCUACGGGAGGCAGCAGUAGGGAAUAUUGGACAAUGGGGGCAACCCUGAUCCAGCUAUGCCGCGUGUGUGAAGAAGGCUCUAGGGUUGUAAAGCACUUUAGGUAAGGACGAAAAGAAUAUAGUUAAUACCUAUAUUCCGUGACUUAACUUACAGAAUAAGGACCGGCUAACUCCGUGCCAGCAGCCGCGGUAAUACGGAGGGUCCAAGCGUUAAUCGGAAUUACUGGGCGUAAAGCGCGCGUAGGCGGUUUGUCAAGUUGGAUGUGAAAUCCCUGGGCUCAACCUAGGAACUGCAUUCAAAACUUAUAGACUAGAGUACGAUAGAGGAGAGUAGAAUUCCUGGUGUAGCGGUGAAAUGCGUAGAUAUCAGGAGGAAUACCAAUGGCGAAAGCAACUCUCUGGAUCGACACUGACGCUGAGGUGCGAAAGCGUGGGUAGCAAACAGGAUUAGAUACCCUGGUAGUCCACGCCGUAAACGAUGAGAACUAGCCGUUGGAUCUUAGAUUCAGUGGUACAGCUAACGCAUUAAGUUCUCCGCCUGGGGAGUACGGCCGCAAGGCUAAAACUCAAAUGAAUUGACGGGGCCCGCACAGCGGUGNGCAUGUGGUUUAAUUCGAUGCAACGCGAAAACCUUACCAACCCUUGACAUCUAGUGAAAUUUCUAGAAGAAUA
rnacentral:rRNA from 1 species